rnacentral:tRNA from 13 species
CGCCGGAAUAGAGACUAGAACCCUGGACCGUUAUGUUAAAAGCCUAACGCUCUACCGACUGAGCUAGCCGGGC